rnacentral:rRNA from 1 species
CGCGGCCUAUCAGCUUGUUGGUGAGGUAACGGCUCACCAAGGCAUCGACGGGUAGCUGGUCUGAGAGGAUGAUCAGCCACACUGGGACUGAGACACGGCCCAGACUCCUACGGGAGGCAGCAGUAGGGAAUCUUGCGCAAUGGGCGAAAGCCUGACGCAGCAACGCCGCGUGGGGGAUGAAUGCCUUCGGGUUGUAAACCCCUUUCAGCAGGGACGAAAAUGACGGUACCUGCAGAAGAAGCUCCGGCCAACUACGUGCCAGCAGCCGCGGUAAUACGUAGGGAGCGAGCGUUGUCCGGAAUUAUUGGGCGUAAAGAGCUCGUAGGCGGUUCAGUAAGUCGGGUGUGAAAACUCAAGGCUCAACCUUGAGACGCCACUCGAUACUGCUGUGACUUGAGUCCGGUAGAGGAGUGUGGAAUUCCUGGUGUAGCGGUGAAAUGCGCAGAUAUCAGGAGGAACACCAGCGGCGAAGGCGGCACUCUGGGCCGGUACUGACGCUGAGGAGCGAAAGCAUGGGGAGCAAACAGGAUUAGAUACCCUGGUAGUCCAUGCCGUAACCGUUGGGCACUAGGUAUGGGAUCAUAUCAACGGAUUCCGUGCCGUAGCUAACGCAUUAAGUGCCCCGCCUGGGGAGUACGG